CUUUCCCUCUUUCUUUCUGCCUAACACAUGCAAGUCGAACGGCAGCACAGGAGAGCUUGCUCUCUAGGUGGCGAGUGGCGGACGGGUGAGGAAUACAUCGGAAUCUGCCCAGUCGUGGGGGAUAACGUAGGGAAACUUACGCUAAUACCGCAUACGACCUUCGGGUGAAAGAGGGGGAUCGCAAGACCUCUCGCGAUUGGAUGAGCCGAUGUCGGAUUAGCUAGUUAGCGGGGUAAUGGCCCACCAAGGCGACGAUCCGUAGCUGGUCUGAGAGGAUGAUCAGCAACACUGGAACUGAGACACGGUCCAGACUCCUACGGGAGGCAGCAGUGGGGAAUAUUGGACAAUGGGCGCAAGCCUGAUCCAGCCAUACCGCGUGGGUGAAGAAGGCCUUCGGGUUGUAAAGCCCUUUUGUUGGGAAAGAAAUCUUUCAGGCUAAUACCCUGGGAGGAUGACGGUACCCAAAGAAUAAGCACCGGCUAACUUCGUG
rnacentral:rRNA from 1 species